GAUUAGAUACCCUGGUAGUCCACGCCGUAAACUAUGAACACUCGCUGUUGGCAAUACACAGUCAGCGGCUGAGCGAAAGCGUUAAGUGUUCCACCUGGGAAGUACGAUCGCAAGGUUGAAACUCAAAGGAAUUGACGGGGGCCCGCACAAGCGGAGGAGCAUGUGGUUUAAUUCGAUGAUACGCGAGGAACCUUACCUGGGCUUAAAUGUAUAUUGACGUACUGAGAAAUCAGUAUUUCUUCGGACAAUUUACAAGGUGCUGCAUGGUUGUCGUCAGCUCGUGCCGUGAGGUGUCGGGUUAAGUCCCAUAACGAGCGCAACCCCUACUUCUAGUUACCAGCAUUUCGGAUGGGGACUCUAGAGGAACUGCCUACGCAAGUAGAGAGGAAGGUGGGGAUGACGUCAAAUCAGCACGGCCCUUAUGUCCAGGGCUACACACGUGCUACAAUGGCCGGUACAGAGGGCAGCUACAUAGCAAUAUGAUGCUAAUCUCAAAAGCCGGUCUCAGUCCGGAUUGGAGUCUGCAACUCGACUCCAUGAAGCUGGAUUCGCUAGUAAUCGCACAUCAGCAAUGGUGCGGUGAUACGUUCCCGGGCCUUGUACACACCGCCCGUCAAGCCAUGGAAGUUGGGGGUACCUGAAGUCGAUUGCCGUAAGGCGUUGCCUAGGGUAAACCAAUGACU
rnacentral:rRNA from 1 species